UACAGAGGUCCCAAGCGUUGUUCGGAUUCACUGGGCGUAAAGGGUGCGUUGGUGGUCGGGUAAGUCUGAUGUGAAAUCUCCGAGCUUAACUCGGAAACUGCAUCGGAUACUAUCUGGCUUGAGGAUCGGAGGGGAGACUGGAAUUCUCGGUGUAGCAGUGAAAUGCGUAGAUAUCGAGAGGAACACCAGUGGCGAAGGCGAGUCUCUAGACGAUUCCUGACGCUGAGGCACGAAAGCUAGGGGAGCAAACAGG
rnacentral:rRNA from 1 species